UACGUAGGGUGCGAGCGUUGUCCGGAAUUAUUGGGCGUAAAGAGCUCGUAGGCGGUCUGUCGCGUCUGCUGUGAAAAUCCAGGGCUCAACCCUGGACCUGCAGUGGGUACGGGCAGACUAGAGUGCGGUAGGGGAGAUCGGAAUUCCUGGUGUAGCGGCGAAAUGCGCAGAUAUCAGGAGGAACACCGGUGGCGAAGGCGGAUCUCUGGGCCGGUACUGACGCUGAGGAGCGAAAGCGUGGGUAGCAAACAGG
rnacentral:rRNA from 1 species